CUGACCCUGCGGUGUUCGUGAUGUUCGACGUAGUCUUGAGCCAACAGAAAAGAGUCGGGAAUCGCCUCCGUUGGGGCAACUCAGCGACAGGAUGGUGCCCACCUGCGAAAGCAGGUUCAAGGCUCCGUUGCACACGGCACAGGCGGGGUCAGC
rnacentral:other from 1 species